rnacentral:rRNA from 1 species
AGUUCGAUUAUGGCUCAGAUUGAACGCUGGCGGGAUGCUUUACACAUGCAAGUCGAACGGCAGCACGGACUUCAGUCUGGUGGCGAGUGGCGAACGGGUGAGUAAUGUAUCGGAACGUGCCUAGUAGCGGGGAUAACUACGCAGCGUAGCUAAUACCGCAUACGCCCUUCGGGGAAAGCGGGGGACCUUCGGGCCUCGCACUAUUAGAGCAGCCGAUAUCGGAUUAGCUAGUUGGUGAGGUAACGGCUCACCAAGGCGACGUCCGUAGCUGGUUUGAGAGGACGACCAGCCACACUGGGACUGAGACACGGCCCAGACUCCUACGGGAGGCAGCAGUGGGAAUUUUUGGACAAUGGGGAAACCUGAUCCAGCCAUCCCGCGUGUGCGAUGAAGGCCUUCGGGUUGUAAGCACUUUUGGCAGAAAGAAACGGCACGGGAUAAUAAUACCCCGUGCAACUGACGAACCUGCAGAAUAAGCACCGGCUAACUACGUGCCAGCAGCCGCGGUAAUACGUAGGGUGCAAGCGGUAAUCGGAAUUACUGGGCGUAAAGCGUGCGCAGGCGAUUCCGGAAGAAGAUGUGAAAUCCCAGAGCUUAACUUUGGAACUGCAUUUUUAACUACCGAGCUACAGAGUGUGUCAGGGAGGUGGAAUUCCCGCGUGUAGCAGUGAAAUGCGUAGAUAUGCGGAGGAACACCGAUGGCGAAGGCAGCCUCCUGGGAUAACACUGACGCUCAUGCGAAAGCGUGGGAGCAGAGCAGGAUUAGAUACCCUGGUAGUCCACGCCUAAACGAUGUCAGCUAGCUGUUGGGGCCUUCGGGCCUUGGUAGCGCAGCUAACGCGUGAAGUUGACCGCCUGGGAAGUACGGUCGCAAGAUUAAAACUCAAAGGAAUUGACAGGGACCCGCACAAGCGGUGGAUGAUGUGGAUUAAUUCGAUGCAACGCGAAAAACCUUACCUACCCUUGACAUGUCUGAAUCCCGAAGAGAUUUGGGAGUGCUCGCAAGAGAACCGGAACACAGGUGCUGCAUGGCUGUCGUCAGCUCGUGUCGUGAGAUGUUGGGUUAAGUCCCGCAACGAGCGCAACCCUUGUCAUUAGUUGCUACGAAAGGGCACUCUAAUGAGACUGCCGGUGACAAACCGGAGGAAGGUGGGGAUGACGUCGAAGUCCUCAUGGCCCUUGUAAGGGUAGGGCUUCACACGUCAUACAAUGGUCGGGACAGAGGGUCGCCAACCCGAGAGGCCAAUCAGAAACCCGAUCGUAGUCCGGAUCACGCAGUCUGCAACUCGACUGCGUGAAGUCGGAAUCGCUAGUAAUCGCGGAUCAGCAUGUCGCGGUGAAUACGUUUCCCGGGUCUUGUACACCGCCCGUCACACAUAGGGUGGGUUUUACCGAAGUAGUUAGCCUAACCGUAAGGAGGGCGAUUACCACGGUAGGAUUCGCUGACUGGGGUGAAGUCGUAACAAGGUAGCU